UUUUCGGCGUCGAGACUGGAGGCUGAGUGCUAAACUGUGUGGGGCGCGGAUGGGAUCCAGCUGUUAGUCGGGUAGGCAUAGGAUUGGAUUCAGCAUCAAAAUACAUCUACUCAUAUUGAGAGCUGUCGACAGUUACGUCAACAGUAAGAAUAUAUUUUUCCUUUAUUAUAGAUAGCAUAUUUACAAAAUAGUUAAUGUUCAGAUGUGACUGUUAAAUACCUUUAGUAUAAUACUUUGGAGAAAAAUAUUUUUGGAAAGCUAUUGUCUUUUAAAAAUAUUAGUUUUCUGGAAGUAUAUUUAAUAUUUUUCCAAAAUGGUAGAAUUCAGUAUAUCCUUUGACACUUUUCUAACUUAAUUCCCAGUAGGUAAACUUUUUAUGUCAUUAGUUCAUUCUUUGCUGGCUUACCUUCCCCAGGAUCUUUUAUCUAUAUCAGAGCAGGUAUCCUUUCUUCUCCUAUCUCCACCUCUUCCCAUAGGACAAGUAACUGAAAAUCAGUGCAAACCAAACACCAGUAUUUAAUUUUGGACCUAAAGCUCUUCUCUGACUUAGAACCAGUUUUCAGAAUAUACCUUAAGUAAGGGAUGGACAAGCUAGAUGUCUUGCUUCCUUAACCUUGGCUCUUCAAUUCUUCCCCCUUUUUCUUCUUAAAGACAGGGCACCUGUGAAGUUUUCCCUACUGGCCAUAGAGGUGAAAAAGUGUGAUUUUAACACUAUGUUCCUGUAUCUCUUGGAGUAACAUCAAAUUAAACUCUGUCUUCCCUAGUACCAUUAAACAGUUCCUAGCCACUAGACUGAGAGUAACGUGUUAUUGGGCAAAUGGAUUUGAGAUUAUUAUUGAGAAUCCUUUUGGUUGUAAGUGGUUAAAGUUGCAGAUUAGUUGCUGGCUCAUGACUGUAAUCUGAGCACUUUGGAAGGCUGAGACAGGUAGGCUUGCUUGAGCUCAGGAGUUCAGCCUGGCCAACACAGCAAGAUCUUGUCUCUACC
rnacentral:lncRNA from 1 species